UUGAAGACAUUCAAUAUACAUUUUAUGAUAUAUCUUGACUUGUACAUCACACAAAAUGCGGAUGUCUUGGUUAUUUAUCGUCCUAAUGGUGAUGUUUAUACUAUGUAUUUUAAGUUAUUCAAUCCAGGGAUUAUUUAUUGGUAAACCACCUGAGGGGUGUUGUUGUAGCUGUUGCUGCUGCCCAUGCGUUCCACCACCACCAUUUUAAGACAUCUUAAGAAGCGCAGCAACUCGCUAGCAGGGUGCCAAAGGUCUUUAACAGAAAUUUGUUCAUCAUUAGACAUGUACAUGUAUAUGAAUAAAACUAAUAAUUUCUUUUCUU